UGCUGAAUCAUUUUAAUUUGUGCAUUACGAGGUAACAAGCCUAGAAAAUCAGUCGAUGAACAAGUUUUAAUUCGUUUUAGAAGACUCAGGAUGUAUGAAGUGUUAAAUUAAUUAUCCAUACUGUUAAGUAAAUUGUCGUUUAAUUGCAUGAAGUAAUCAACCCAAUGUACUGUGAAGAAAGAAAGCAAAUAUAAGUACAACACAAUAGAAUUAGAUGGGCUGUUUCCAUUAAACACUGAACAAGCAUUCCGAGAAAUACUGCAAGGAACAUCGAAGAGAAGGCCAAAAUCAAGCACAAAAUUAAAGUUUCGUCAAAACCCAAUUCAACAGAUCGGCCAUAAAAACAUCGUAAAUAAAACGUAGUAACUAAAUCUUCAAUGAGCGCUGGAAAUGUUAAUUAUUUAAUUAGUGCAUAGGUGUUACGAACUAAAACAGUCACAGUGUUCAUGUCAGUUAUUUUACGGUUUAAGAGAACUUGUUUAAGAUUGCUUAAUCGUUUAGUUGUUUUAUAAUUAAAUUUUUACAACCUGGAAGUAAAGGUUAAAAACCUGACAAUCUCAAAGUCUGGGUCUUUUGAAUGCUUCUUUGUAUUUUAAGUUAUUACAGCAGUUGAAUAUAAAUUCGUCAGCCGUAUUCAAAGCUUGUUUGGUAAAUGAAGGCGCUGUUAAAUCAUUGUUAGAGAAACAUUCUGAAAACGAAAUUUGUAUGCUAUUCAGCAACGAUGUAUUUUUAUUCAAAAAAUGAGUGAGCGUUUCCCAUAGUUUUCAAUAAAUGAUGCAACAAACGCAGCC